GAUGAACGCUAGCGACAGGCUUAACACAUGCAAGCCGAGGGGCAGCGGGGAGUAGCAAUACUCUGCCGGCGACCGGCGUACGGGUGAGUAACGCGUGUGCAACCUGCCCUUUACCGGAGAAUAACCCAUGGAAACGUGGACUAAUACUCCAUAGUAUUGAUUUAUCGCAUGAUAGAUUAAUUAAAACUUCGGUGGUAAAGGAUGGGCACGCGUGACAUUAGGUAGUUGGUGGGGUAACGGCCUACCAAGCCGACGAUGUCUAGGGGUUCUGAGAGGAAGGUCCCCCACACUGGAACUGAGACACGGUCCAGACUCCUACGGGAGGCAGCAGUGAGGAAUAUUGGUCAAUGGGUGAGAGCCUGAACCAGCCAAGUCGCGUGAGGGAAGAAUGGUCUAUGGCCUGUAAACCUCUUUUGUAUGGGAAGAAUAAGGAGUAUGUAUACUCUGAUGCCGGUACCAUACGAAUAAGCAUCGGCUAACUCCGUGCCAGCAGCCGCGGUAAUACGGGGGAUGCAAGCGUUAUCCGGAUUUAUUGGGUUUAAAGGGUGCGUAGGCGGUCUGUUAAGUCAGCGGUGAAAUCCGGCAGCUCAACUGUCGCGAGCCGUUGAAACUGGUAGACUCGAGUGAGGUCGAGGUAAGCGGAAUAAGUAAAGUAGCGGUGAAAUGCUUAGAUAUUACUUAGAACACCGAUAGCGAAGGCAGCUUACCAGCCCUCAACUGACGCUGAUGCACGAGAGCGUGGGUAGCGAACAGGAUUAGAUACCCUGGUAGUCCACGCCGUAAACGAUGCUCACUGGCUCUGGGCGAUAAACAGUCCGGGGCCGAGCUAACGUAAAAGUGAGCCACCUGGGGAGUACGUCGGCAACGAUGAAACUCAAAGGAAUUGACGGGGGCCCGCACAAGCGGAGGAACAUGUGGUUUAAUUCGAUGAUACGCGAGGAACCUUACCCGGGUUUAAAUGUAGAUUGCAUGAGGUGGAAACACUUCUUUCCUUCGGGACUAUUUACAAGGUGCUGCAUGGUUGUCGUCAGCUCGUGCCGUGAGGUGUCGGGUUAAGUCCCAUAACGAGCGCAACCCUUAUCGUUAGUUGCCAUCAGGUCAAGCUGGGCACUCUAUCGAGACUGCCACCGUAAGGUGUGAGGAAGGUGGGGAUGACGUCAAAUCAUCAUGGCCUUUAUGCCCAGGGCGACACACGUGCUACAAUGGGGCGCACAGAGGGAAGCGAUACAGCGAUGUGGAGCGGAUCCCAGAAAGCGUCUCUCAGUUCGGAUUGUAGUCUGCAACCCGACUACAUGAAGCCGGAAUCGCUAGUAAUCGCAGAUCAGCCAAGCUGCGGUGAAUACGUUCCCGGGCCUUGUACACACCGCCCGUCACACCACCCGAGUUGUCUGCACCCGAAGCCGUCGGCCUAACCCGCAAGGGGAGGAGGCGUCGAAGGUGUGGAGG
rnacentral:rRNA from 1 species